GUGGGUAAUCAACCCUCGACACUGGGAUAGCCCGGGGAAACCCGGAUUAAUACCGGAUACCCCGUCCGGCCUUCGGGCCGGCCGGAAAAGGUAGCUUCGGCCUCCGGUCGGGGACGAGCCCGCGGCGGAUUAGCUUGUUGGUGUGGGUAAUGGCCCACCAAGGCGACGAUCCGUAGCUGGUCUGAGAGGACGAUCAGCCACACUGGGACUGAGACACGGCCCAGACUCCUACGGGAGGCAGCAGUAGGGAAUAUUGGACAAUGGGCGCAAGCCUGAUCCAGCCAUGCCGCGUGAGUGAUGAAGGCCCUAGGGUUGUAAAGCUCUUUUGUGCGGGAAGAUAAUGACGGUACCGCAAGAAUAAGCCCCGGCUAACUUCGUGCCAGCAGCCGCGGUAAUACGAAGGGGGCUAGCGUUGCUCGGAAUCACUGGGCGUAAAGGGUGCGUAGGCGGGUCUUUAAGUCAGGGGUGAAAUCCUGGAGCUCAACUCCAGAACUGCCUUUGAUACUGAAGAUCUUGAGUUCGGGAGAGGUGAGUGGAACU
rnacentral:rRNA from 1 species